ensembl:lncRNA
CUUUGAGAUUUUUUUUUCCUCAAGAAAUAGAUCUAGGGCUUAGGAUGGAGUUCAACAUGCAGGAAGCCCUAGUUUGACCCCCCAACUACAUAAACUGGGUGACACGUACCUGUGAUACCAGAUCUUCAGAUGUGUAGGCAGGACGAUCAGAAGUUCAGGGUUAUCUUUGGGUACAUGGGGAGUUCAAGGGCAGCUACAUGAUACCCUGUCCCAAAAAGAAGAGCCAAACAGCUCCAAGGUGCUUCGUCACAAGAGUAGACUGUGGACAGUGAGCUGCUGUGUGGGAAUAACCAACAAGCAGGAAGCUGCCCCCUGGGCCAGGAAACCCGGAUACUUGCCAGCUCCAGAACCUCACCAGCUCUGCCAGGUGCUAUAGACACGGAAAUGAAGGACUCACUUCCUGUUUCCAUAGCCACAUAACUCCAGUAGAGUCUCAGCUGUGCUGGACAAUCAAGACACUGUCAAGAAGCCAGAGUGAGAGGCGAACCCCUUCAUGGUUGUGUGAGACUCUCAUCCCCAAGAUUCUACAAGACAAGUCAACCCUCACCCUGAACUGCCUCGGCGGAAUACCUUUUAGACUUCCAGGCCUUCCUUGAUCUUCCAACUCUUCUUACCCCUCUGCUGUCUGAGUGCCGGAGCAGUGGGCAUAUACCACCUUGCCCAGCUACAAACUUGGGAUUUUAAAAAACUUGUUAGUACCUGUUGAGACUGAAGUCUAAAGCGUAAUAAAAAGGGUGUUUGUGUUGUCAUUUCUGAGGGUGACACAGUGGAAAGACAACUUAGAAGUGCGGCAUUUAGAAACAGCUGAUCUUUUUUGAAAUGGGAUCUUCUGUUAUGGAAUUUGCCCUGUGGUCCUGGCUGGCCUAGAGCUCUUGGUAAUCGCUCUACCUCUGACUCCCUAGAGCUGGGCUUACAGAAAUCGUCCAUGUUUCGCUUUCCUACCUAUCUUAAAGCUUACUUCCUAAUUAAGUGGUUAGCUAUAGAUUCAUAACUUCUUCUCAGAGAAUCGUGGAACUGAGCCAGAGCAAGCAGCAGCGAUUACUGACUGCCGAUCCGAGAAAUGCGAGCUUAAGCCUUCAGGACUGUCGGCCUGCUUAUUGAGCGAGUGGCACUAAACCAACGAAACUUUCAAUUAAAAACAUUGUUUAUUGGACUAUACAUAAAAUUGUAGCAUUUCAUGAUGACAUGUUUAUGGGUCUUAAUGGCAGGUAUUUCACUGUACAGUUCUUAGUGUAGAUGCUAUCUGAUGGGAGUCCUGCACUUGCUAAUGAGAAAUGCUUUGGAGCAGCUUGGGCGUCGGCUGCCAUGACUGUGCACUACUGCCUCUGCUCAUCUUUCUGGUUACCUUCUCUGUAGCAUGGCUGUCAGAUCAAGCUUUGUUUUACUGGUAAUUUUUUUUCCCUGCUAGCACUUGAACCUAGG